rnacentral:rRNA from 2 species
CGACUCUCGGCAACGGAUAUCUCGGCUCUCGCAUCGAUGAAGAACGUAGCGAAAUGCGAUACUUGGUGUGAAUUGCAAAAUCCCGUGAACCAUCGAGUCUUUGAACGCAAGUUGCGCCCGAAGCCGUCAGGCCGAGGGCACGUCUGCCUGGGUGUCACG